rnacentral:rRNA from 1 species
UACGUAGGGUGCAAGCGUUUGUCCGGAAUUAUUGGGCGUAAAGAGCUCGUAGGCGGUCUGUCGCGUCGGCUGUGAAAACUCGGGGCUCAACCCCGAGCUUGCAGUCGAUACGGGCAGGCUAGAGUUCGGCAGGGGAGACUGGAAUUCCUGGUGUAGCGGUGAAAUGCGCAGAUAUCAGGAGGAACACCGGUGGCGAAGGCGGGUCUCUGGGCCGAUACUGACGCUGAGGAGCGAAAGCGUGGGGAGCGAACAGG